AUGGCUGGAUUCAGGACUCCAGAAUAUAACCAGGACUCAGUUUCCUGCCAUUUCUCUUUCUUUUCCGCAUGGUUGGUGUCAGUGGCAGGUUUCACACGCUGGCAAGCUGGAGCCAGCAGCUCCAGCUCCAGCUCUAGGACCCCUGGAGUUGAGCCGAGCGAAAAUAAGGAAGAGAGGCUUUGUCCCAGACAUUUUAGCCUGAGUCUCAAUGCCUCUUAUUGGCUCCAACAGAUCACAUGCCCAGCCCUGAGCCAAUCAAUGUGGCCACAUCCAGGACAGUUACUACUGCCCCCGUCCCCUGCCGAGGAGACCGGCUGGAAACCCGAGGGCUGUUGGGUCUUCCCCGGGAGAUGGGGAGAGAGGAUGCGGGGCAGCUGGCAACACGAUAGGAAGAAAGUCGCAUCACAAGGGAGCCCCAUGGAGAGGAAUGAGCACAGAAUUUGGAGUCAGAAGAGUGGAAGGCCUGGGCUUGGGGCCUGGCUGCACCGUGCCAGCUGGAUGGUUCUGGGAAAACUGCCCAAAUCUCUGCUCCGCAGUCCCCACAUCUGUCAGUAGGGAUCACAUCUGCCUCACCGGAUCAGCUGAGACAAGGCACGUGUGUAAAAGGCUGUACAAAUGUUAGUUACUAUAAGGUUGUCUCAAAAAAAAUAAAACCCACAGCAAAGAGUAUCCCAAGGCAGGCUCAUUUUACUUCAGUUACCAUUUGGCACCAAGCAGAUCAGGGGACUUACUAGAUGACACAGCAAGUCAGUGGCAGAGCCAAGGAGUGCACUCAUCCAAGUUACUGAUUCCGAUGUUGUCAGCAAAACCAGCUGAAACCCAUCUUCACACUGCAGUUCAGAGGGUGUCCUCAGGAAGCGCCUCUCUGCAAAGCAUGUUCAAGGUGGUUCCCAGUGGCCUGCCAAAUGGUCAGCAAGGUAUAACUGGAUGACGCUCCCAGGAAGCAGAGUGAAAAGAGACAAGGAGUAGGAAACUAAUAUCCAGAGUUGGCCAUUUGUCCCAAGGACCAGAGUGGAGACUGCAUUUCUAAGCGCUUCCUCUGUCCACAGCCCUCCUCCCCAAUACCUUUUAAAAACAGAUUUGCUGGCUGGGCACAGUGGCUCAUGCCUGUAAUCCCAGCACUUUGGGAGGCUGAGGCAGGUGAAUUGCCUGAGCUCAGGAGUUCGAGACCAACCUGGGCAAAACCCUAUCUUUACCAAAAAAUACAAAAAGCUAGCCGGGCCUUAUGGUGCAUACCUGUGGUUCCAGCUAUUGGGAAGGCUGAGGUGGGAGGAUCACUUGAGCCUGGGAGGCGGAGGUUGGAAUGAGCUGAGAUCACACCACUGCACUCCAACCUGAGUGACAGACUGAGACCCCCAUCUCACAAAAACAAAACACAGAUUUGUUGGCUGGGCAUAGUGGCACAUGCCUGUAAUCCCAGCACUUUGGGAGGCCGAAGUGGAAGGAUCACUUGAGUCCAGGAGUUUGAGACCAGCCCAGGCAACACAGCAAGACUUUGUGUUCCCUUUAAAAAAAAAAAAUUAGCCGGGUUUGGUGGCAUACACCUGUAGUCCUAGCUACUCUGGAGGCUGGGGUUCGAGGAUCUCUUGCUCCCAGGAGCUCGAGGCUGCAGUGAACUGAUGAUACCUCUGUACUCUGGCCUGGGCAACAGAGUGAGACCCUGUCUCAAAAAAACAAAAACAAACAAACAAACAAAAACCACAUUUGUUGAAAUAUAAUUCACAUACAAUAAAAAUACAUCGUUUUGCCGGGUGUGGUGGCUCACGCCUGUAAUCCCAGCACUUUGGGAGGCCGAGGCGGGCGGAUCACGAGGUCAGGAGAUCGAGACCAUCCUGGCUAACACAGUGAAACCCCAUCUCUACUAAAAAUGCAAAAAAUUAGCCGGGCAUGGUGGUGUGCGCCUGUAGUCCCAGCUACUCAGGAGGCUGAGGCAGGAGAAUUGCUUGAACCAGGGAAGGGAAGCUUGCAGUGAGCCGAGAUCGCGCCACUGCACUCCAGCCUGGGCAACAAAGCAAGACUCCAUCUCAAAAAAACAAAAAAACAAAACAAACAAAAAAUAUAUCAUUUUAAAAUGUACAAUUCAUGGUGAUGUGCAUCUGAAGUCCCAGCUACUUAGAAAGCUGAGAUGAGAGGAUCACUGUGAGUCAAUGCAACCGCUUUGCUUUAUAAAUUACCCAGUCUCGGGUAUUUCUUCAUAACGGAGUGAGAAUGGACUAAUGCAUCCUCCCACCUCGGCCUCCCGAAGUGUUGGGAUUACAGGCAUGAGCCACUGUACCCGGCUGUUUACACUCUCUUGAUGGUGUCCUUUAAAGCACAAAAAUUGGUGGGAAGCAGUGGCUGAUGCCUAUAAUCCCAGCACUUUGGGAGGCCCAGAUGGGAGGAUUGCUUGAGGGUAGCUUGGGCAACAUAGCGAGACCUCCAUCUCUACAAAAUUUUUUAAAUUAGCUGGGUGUGGUUGUGCAUGCCUGUAGUCCCAGGUACUCGGGAAGUCAAGGCUGGAGGAUCACUGCAGCCUUGAGUACGGGAGGUUGAGACUGCAGUGAGUUGUGAUCGCACCACUGCACCCCAGUCUGACCAAAAGAAUGAGACCCUGUCUAAGAAUGGCGUGAACCUGGGAGGCGGAGCUUGCAGUGAGCUGAGAUCCGGCCACUGCACUCCAGCCUGGGAGACAGAGCGAGACUCCGUCUCAAAAAAAAAAAAAAAAAAAAAAGAAUGAGACCCUGUCUGAAAAAAAAAAAAAAGGCCGGGCAGGGUGGCUCACGCCUGUAAUCCCAGCACUUUGGGAGGCUGAGGUGGGUGGAUCACGAGAUCAGGAGAUUAAGACCAUCCUGGCUAACACAGUGAAACCCCAUCUCUACAAAAAAUACAAAAAAUGAGCUGGGCGUGGUGGUGGGCGCCUGUAGUCCCAGCUACACGGGAGGAUGAGGCAGGAGAAUGGCGUGAACCCAGGAGGCGGAGCUUGCAGUGAGCCGAGAUAGCACCACUGUAUUCCAGCCUGGGCAAAAGAGUGAGACUCUGUCUCAAAAAAAAAAAAAAAAGACAAAAAGCGGAAAAAAAAAACACAAAAGUUUUAAAAUCAUUAUUAAGUCUAAUUUAUCUAUUAUUUUUUCUACUGUUGCUUGUGCUUUUGGUGUCAAUCUAAGAAGUCUUUGCCAUACCCAAGGUUUACUGCUGCAUUUUCUUCUAAGAGUGUUAUAGUUUAAGUUCUUACAGUUAGGUCUGUGAUCCAUUUUGAGUUAAUUUUCUUUUUUUUUUUUUUUUUUUUUUGAGAUGGGGUUUUGCUCUUGUUGCCUAGGCUGGAGUGCAAUGGCAUGAUCUCAGCUCACUGCAACCUCUGGCUCCUGAGUUCAAGUGAUUCUCCUGUCUCAGCCUCCCGAAUAGCUGGGAUGACAGGGUGCAUGCCACCACGCCUGGCUAAUUUUGUAUUUUUAGUAGAGAUGGAGUUUCACUGUGUUGGCCAGACUGGUCUCAAACUCCUGACCUCACGUGAUCCACCUGGCUUGGCCUCCCAAUGUGCUGGGAUUACAGGCAUGCACCUCCAUGCCCAGCUAAUUUUGUAAUUUUAGUAGAGACGGGCUUUUACCAUGUUGGUCAGGCUGGUCUCGAACUCCCAACCUCAGGUGAUCCACCUGCCUCGGCCUCCCAAAGUGCUGGGAUUACAAGUGUGAGCUGUAGUGCCAGGGUGCUUUUUUUUGUUUUUUUUUAUGGCAUGUGGAUAUCUGGCUCUUCCAUAUUCAUUCCCCCAAUGAAUUGUCUUGGCAUCUUUGUAAAAAAAAAAAAAAAAAUCACAUAGCUCCUUUUUAAAGAAAGUAGACCAGGCCAGGUACGGAGGCUCACGCCUGUAAUCCCAGCACUUUGGGAGGCCGAGGCGGGUGGUUCACUUGAGAUUAGGAGUUCGAGACCAACCUGGCCAACAUGGCGAAACCCUGUCUCUACUAUAUAAAAAAUAGCCGGGCGUGGUGUCAGGUGCCUGUACUCCCUGCUAUGUGGGAGGCUGAGGCAGGAGAAUUACUUGAACCCCGGAGGUGGAGGUUGAAGUGAGCAGAGAUCAUGCCAUUGCACUCUAACCUGGGCAGCAACAGUGAAACUCUGUCUCAUAAAUAAAAAUAAAUCAGUAAAUAGACCAUAAGCAGCUUGUGCAGCUCUUACAAUUUCUGGCAAGUGAAACCAAGCCUUGGACACAGGCACUUCAGACCAGUGCCUAUAGCCUGAGGUGACUGGUGCUUAAUGUGGAUUCCUAAUACUUGAUGGAGGGAAAAAAAAAAAUCUGAUUCUGUCUCAGACAUCACGGGAGCGUGGCGCCCACAGGGAAGGCGGAUGACCUAGCUUGAUCUGGUUCUUCCCACCUGCUACAGAAACCCUUAGCACCUCACUGGAUCUGCAAGGCCUUUAGAAUCAAGUAGCAGAGCUUUCUCUUCCUCAGGGCUCCACUCAAAGCUGGUAGCUUUUUUUUUUUUUGAGGCAGAGUCUCACUCUAUUGCCCAGGCUGGAGCGCAGUGGCAUGAUCUCAGGUCAUUGCAAGCUCCGCCUCCCGGGUUCACGCUAUUUUCCUGCCUCAGCCUCCCGAGUAGCUGGGACUACAGGUACCCACCACCACGCCCAGCUAAUCUUUUGUAUUUUUAGUAGAGACGGGGUUUCACCAUGUUAAACAGGAUGGUCUCGAUCUCCUGACCUCAUGACCCGCCCACCUCAGCCUCCCAAAGUGCUGGGAUUACAGGCAUGAGCCACCGCGCCCGGCCAAAGCUGGUAGCUUUUAGGUCAUCUAGUAAAUGGGUUGGAACAGCAAAUAGUAUAUAAUGACUCCCAAAUGCAAAAAGACACAUGAAGUAUCACUUCUCUCUCUCUCUCUCUUUUUAAUUGUAAGAAAUAGGAUCUUACUAUAUGCCCAGGCUGGAGUACAGUGUGAUUCACAGGCGUGAUCAUAGC
ensembl:lncRNA